GAUCAUGGCUCAGGAUGAACGCUAGCUACAGGCUUAACACAUGCAAGUCGCGGGGCAGCAUGAAGGAUGCUUGCAUCUUUUGAUGGCGACCGGCGCACGGGUGAGUAACGCGUAUCCAACCUGCCUGUUACCACGGCACAGCCCGUCGAAAGGCGGAUUAAUGCCGUAUGUGGUCCUUUGCGGGCAUCUAAUUAAGGACUAAAGGUUACGGGCGGUAACGGGAAUGGGGAGUGCGUCCGAUUAG
rnacentral:rRNA from 1 species